ensembl:lncRNA
AAAAAAAAAUCUGACAUUAAGGCAUGUCAGAGAACUUUCAUAUGAACACUCUGAACAUACCUUAUGGACAUACACUUUGAGUACUAAUAUGUACCUUUAAGGUACUAAUAUGCACCCUUUAUACAAAGGUGUACCAUUUUGAUACUCACAGUAGAUAGAUGGCCAAGCUGUUGAAAAUCCUCCUGUCUCUGAGCCUCUAUACCCACUGCACAAAGCACUUUGGCAUUUUCACAAAAAUGGGAUGCAAUUUUUAUUGUGGCCACUAGAUGUCAGAUUUGCCACACACCACUGCUGGGCAAAUUAACCUUUGGCCAGUUGUUGUGCUGAUUUUGAAAACAAUGUACAAUGUACAAACCAAAAAUAAAUAUAACUGAAAAAAAUACAAUUCAGCAUGAGAGAUUUUUUUAGCUCCCUGAGCAAUCCAAAGCAUAUGGCAAAAUGUGGAAAUCUUUAAGCAUAUUUAAAACAUUUAUUUGAGGUUUGUGAAUAAAAUACUUGAUAGAAUUUGGAUUUUUUUUUUUUUGUAUUACUAAAAAUAAUUACUCUUAAUAUUCUUAUCAUGUAUUUAAUAACAAUAUUUAUUUAUAAUCACAUUAUUCUACACCCUUAAAUGUGUUUCUUAUAAUUUGUAGAUCAUGCACAAUAAAGCAAACAAAAACAUCUAAAUAUUUGAAUCCCAUAAAAAUUUUUUUUUUUUUUUUUUUUUUUACUUGGUUUACUAUUUUGGUUUACUAUAAAAUGUUUACCAUUUGUUAAAAGCAUUUCGUAAAUGACUGCAGUAGCAUUUAACAAUGUUUAUGUAAUUCUUGGACUUAACAUAGGAAUCUGUUAUGUAUUUCAUCCAUACUCAUACAGUACAUUUACACUCUAUUUCAAAUUAAAUGAGCCAUUACCUUAACAAUGGAACAAAUGUCCCUUUAUUUUACUACUUUUAAAUUAAUUACAUUUUUGAUGUUGGUUAAUGAGCAGAAAACACACAUUUCAGAAUUGUAAACAUCACAGGGUAAAAUAUUGCAAUGGCUGCUAAUGCAUGUUCCUUGAUGUAAGAGAUGUUUAUAUAUAUAUUUCAAGGUUAGGUAUAGUAUUUUCAGUGAAACAAUGGCCUACAAAAGAACAGCAAAGACGCAGUCCUACCUGCAGCAGUCGAAAUGCCAAGAACUCUGCAGGCACAUUCCACUAAAACCCACAAAGCUGAGCCCUUCAUGGUCAAAAUCAUGGUCAAAGUCAAAAUUUAGAGCAUUUGUUGAUUGUCAACGUUCUCUAUUGGUAGUUCAUUUAUUGAUAGAUAGAUAUCAGAACUGCACAAGGAUGGCAGCGCCAUGGUUAGAAAUCUUCUCGCCGGAGCAGGAGGGUGCCGUAGGCUGCAAUCCAGUGCAGAUUUUACCCUGGUACUCAGCCUAACAUA